rnacentral:rRNA from 1 species
AUGCUGGGAGGUCACCUUUGUCAUAUAGACCAAGCUGAACGUUUUUUGGGUUUUGAUACAGCCAACCCCUCCAGUUUUGUGGUGGUCGUGCCCCUGGCAACUUGUUUUGAUGUAAUCAAAGAAGUGGCGAUCUACUCAUCGGAAACUGGACGAUGGACUUUUGCGCUGAAUGAGUGGAGACGCGACGCUAUGGUUCGUGGUGAUCAAUCUGCCAUCUUUCUGAAUGGAAUUGUGCAUUUGACUACCUUCGAUUCUUCAAUAGUAACAGUGGACAGCGAGGGAAAGAUUUGGAGAGAAAUUAGAGCGCCAUACUUGUCGGCUGCCAUUGGACUGUCUCAGGGAUGCUUGCAUGCUUGGAAUGUAGAUGAUCGUUGCCAACUCUUCGUUUGGGUUCUUGAGGAUUAUGCUAGCGGAAAAUGGACACUAAAGCACACUGCUAAUGUUUUGGGACUGUUCGGAAGGUAUUCUCGCAAAGAUGACGAGUCCUACAAGAUGCUGGCAAUUCAUCCAGAUUGUAAUUCAUUUUUCCUUACUGAUGGGAAGAUGACAGUCUUAUACAAUAUGGAUAAUCAGAAACUGCAAGUUAUCAGCGCUUCCCAGGAAUUCGUGGGUUGUGUGCCUUAUAUUCCUUGUUUUGCAAAAUGGCCCUCAGUAAUAGUAGCGCCCUCAUAA